GAUGAACGCUGGCGGCGUGCCUAAUACAUGCAAGUCGAGCGAACAGACGAGGAGCUUGCUCCUCUGACGUUAGCGGCGGACGGGUGAGUAACAUGUGGAUAACCUACCUAUAAGACUGGGAUAACUUCGGGAAACCGGAGCUAAUACCGGAUAAUAUAUUGAACCGCAUGGUUCAAUAGUGAAAGACGGUUUUGCUGUCACUUAUAGAUGGAUCCGCGCCGCAUUAGCUAGUUGGUAAGGUAACGGCUUACCAAGGCAACGAUGCGUAGCCGACCUGAGAGGGUGAUCGGCCGCACUGGAACUGAGACACGGUCCAGACUCCUACGGGAGGCAGCAGUAGGGAAUCUUCCGCAAUGGGCGAAAGCCUGACGGAGCAACGCCGCGUGAGUGAUGAAGGUCUUCGGAUCGUAAAACUCUGUUAUUAGGGAAGAACAAAUGUGUAAGUAACUAUGCACGUCUUGACGGUACCUAAUCAGAAAGCCACGGCUAACUACGUG
rnacentral:rRNA from 1 species